GAUGAACGCUGGCGGCGUGCCUAAUACAUGCAAGUCGAGCGAACGGACGAGAAGCUUGCUUCUCUGAUGUUAGCGGCGGACGGGUGAGUAACACGUGGAUAACCUACCUAUAAGACUGGGAUAACUUCGGGAAACCGGAGCUAAUACCGGAUGAUAUUUUGAACCGCAUGGUUCAAAAGUGAAAGACGGUCUUGCUGUCACUUAUAGAUGGAUCCGCGCUGUAUUAGCUAGUUGGUAAGGUAACGGCUUACCAAGGCAACGAUGCAUAGCCGACCUGAGAGGGUGAUCGGCCACACUGGAACUGAGACACGGUCCAGACUCCUACGGGAGGCAGCAGUAGGGAAUCUUCCGCAAUGGGCGAAAGCCUGAUGGAGCAACGCCGCGUGAGUGAUGAAGGUCUUCGGAUCGUAAAACUCUGUUAUUAGGGAAGAACAUAUGUGUAAGUAACUGUGCACAUCUUGACGGUACCUAAUCAGAAAGCCACGGCUAACUACGUG
rnacentral:rRNA from 1 species